GACUCAUUGGAUGUAUGGGAUGUCGCGC
rnacentral:piRNA from 1 species